rnacentral:lncRNA from 1 species
GACCCCCGGCUCAAGGCACGAGAUACCACACAAACACAUAGUAAAGCACAGAAGCAGAUUACAUAACAUAAAUACCGCACCCAUAAGUAAUAUAAAACAGAGGAAAGCAGAGGAAAGCACACAGAUUCGUAAUAAAACAUGGAACACGGAACACAGAAUCAUAACAGGAAUAAACCCCCACCAAGUAAUUCCCUACCCUAGCCACUCCAACUGUCCCUAGUCCUCUGCCCUAAUUCGCGUCCUCCAGACCUUCCUAUCUAGGGUCAUGUCCUCGGUGAGCUGUAACUGCUCCAUGUCCCGCCUAAUCACCUCACCCCAGUCCUUCUUCGGCCUACCCCUACCCCGCCUAAAACCAUCCAACACUAGC